GUAACACGUAGUCAACAUGCCCAGGGGACGUGGAUAACCUCGGGAAACUGAGGAUAAACCGCGAUAAGUCACUACUUCUGGAAUGGGUAAUGACUAAAAUCUACAUGGCCCCUGGAUUGGACUGCGGCCGAUCAGGCUGUUGGUGAGGUAAUGGCCCACCAAACCUGUAACCGGUACGGGCUCUGAGAGGAGGAGCCCGGAGAUGGGCACUGAGACAAGGGCCCAGGCCCUAUGGGGCGCAGCAGGCGCGAAACCUCUGCAAUAGGCGAAAGCCUGACAGGGUUACUCUGAGUGAUUUCCGUUAAGGAGAUCUUUUGGCACCUCUAAAAAUGGUGCAGAAUAAGGGGUGGGCAAGUCUGGUGUCAGCCGCCGCGGUAAUACCAGCACCCCGAGUGGUCAGGACGUUUAUUGGGCCUAAAGCAUCCGUAGCCGGUUCUACAAGUCUUCCGUUCAAUCCACCUGAUCAGCGGAUGGGCUGCAAAAGAUACUAUGGAGCU
rnacentral:rRNA from 1 species